rnacentral:tRNA from 1 species
ACCUGGCUAGCUCAGUCAGUAGAGCAUGCGAUUCUUGAUCUCCUGGUUGUGAGUUUGAGCCCCACGCUGGGGG